CCCGAGCUUUGCUGUUAAAAAUGUAAGAUAAGGCUUCCAUAAAGAUUCAUCAACAGCAGAGACGCUGUCUAAGUUGGGUCUGAGCCCUCAGAGCUUACGGCUUCUUUUUUCGGUGUUGUAAGGAAGGUCAGUGGGCAAAUGCCUAUGAUUUAUCAUCAUGCUUUAAUAGUGCUUGUGCUUUGGUUAAGGGACACCUUGGGGAGAAGAAAGGGUUAAAAUAUUUGAGCAGGGUCACAAAGUGGUCUUGCAUUAAGAACCCAGCACGGAACUGACAUUACUAAAAGUUACUUAGUCAUUUUGUACCUGCUAAGAGGUAUCGCCCAGUCCCAGCUAAGAACCGGGAAGAAGCAGGCUGAUACCUGCACGUUGCAGAAAGUUUAUGAAGACCAAACACUCCCUUGAAACUCAGCUGGGGAAAUGAAACAACUAAAACCAAACAUCUUCUACCUUCAACCAUCAUGACUGUUUCCGAUACAUUUUGUAAGAUACUCAAGUACAACGCAGGAGAAGUUUGUGAAAUUUGAUUAUAGAGACGUGUGUUUAAUCCGUGCAUAUUGCAAUAUCCUCUUCCACUGUUUGUCCCCAGGAUAGAUGAGAUGAUCUAAAGGAUUUGUCCACCUCCAGUUUCUUGGAAUGAGAACAUAUGCCUUUCCCAGAUGAUUUUCAGUAUUUAUUUUUCAGAAAGAAAGGGAUCGAUACCAGUUUUAAAGAAGACAAAGCAAGGUACUCAAAUACUAAAGCUAAAAUGAUACUGGCUGCACGGAAGGGUACAUUUGAGGCACUUUGGCCAUCUCUCUGAAACGACUAGAAAAAAAUGAGGAUAGAUGCAGUGCUGACUAAUCUGCCUAUUUUCAGAUGUGAUGCUGAGUUACAGAAAUGCAAAGUAAGGAGGUAGUUUAAGAAUUAGCAAAAGUCUCUUAAUGAGAAAUUGAUCUAGCAUCAAGGGGGGCAUCCAUGUGGGUAGCUAGAACAUAUUUUAAGAGUAUCUUAAAAUCUUAGAACUACAUCUAUGAAUGAGUCCAUGCACUGUCACAGGAGAUAAAUACACCAGAUCUUCUGGGAAUUCUAGAGAACAGUCAAGUGGUGGCCCUUCUCAGUGGCUGUUUCAACUCUUGCAGGGUGUUAUAGACUUGAGAUUCUAGAGUCCUGAAUAUUGUUCCUCCAAUCCCAUGUCUGUCCACCUCGGGCUGUGGACAUUUGGGGAAUAAGCCUUUGUCGUGGGAGCUGUCCCGUACAUUGUAGAACAUUUAGUAUCAUACUCAUUAGAUGCAAGUGGCAUUCCCUGCAAGUAGCAUUUUGGAAACCAAAAUGACCUUAUCCCUCAUUCUUCAAACUAAAUGAAAACCACACGCAUUUUGCAUUUAAAUUGCCAUUAGGAAAUGGACCAGAUGUUCAAUAGGAAAAGAAAAUGCACUAGAGAAGAAAAAUACAGGCUUCUUCUGUUCACAGGUGGCCUGGAGGUCAUCCCAGCUCCGCCUGUUUCGGCUUCCCCUCCUGUAAACGGUUGACUUUCCUGGGCAUUAUGUUCUGGCUUCUUACAUUUCUUUUAAUGUCUUUAUCCUGUAUCCCAUAGUGAUGAGACAUGUCACAGCCCGCUCUCCUCUCUCGAUGUGGGCGGGGGGGGGGGGGGCAGGUAGCCACAAAGCUCCAGCUGCAUCCAAGCCUGUUAAAGGACACAUUAAUAAGUGGGACUGUAACCAUAGGAAGAUGACAGAGGUGUGGAGAGGUCUAGAUAGACCAUUUCAUCAAAAACACUGGGGGAAAUGAGCUCGUAUAGAGAGAGAAGGGAAAGAAUGAAAUAAUAGAGUACACACUAACAGUCUUUCAAUUUAGUGAAUUAUAAAGGAAAACUUUUGUACUAACCAAAGAAGGCUAGCUAGGGCAAAGGCUAGCAGGACUGAAGUUACAAUAUGGACCAUCUUUCUAGGACUUUGCCUAUGCAAGGGAUUUAAGUGUAUUUAAGUUCAAGGUGUACAAUGUGUUGGUUUGAUACAUUUAUAAAUUGCAAAAUGAUUACCACCAUAAUAUUUAGCUGUCUUCCCCAUCUCUCCACAUAGUUCCCAUGUCUUUUUUUGUGAUGAGGACAUUUAGGAUCUACUCUCUUAGCAACAUUCAAGUACAUGAUACAGUAUUAUUAACUCUAAUCAUCAUGCUGUGCUUCUUUUUACCUUCCCCUUUUGGAAGUCUAGUCUCUUAAUCGUGAAUGAACCUCGCAGCCCCUGGCUUUCCUUCUGCUCUUACGUAAACUCUUUCAGAUAACUGCUGAUAUCAAUGUGAUCAUUUACUCUGUCCACAGUCUGGGAGAGACCAUGACUUCAGGGGCUCUGGCUGGGCCAUCAGCCAGGGAAGCUCAUUCUCUGUGUUCACCUGCUGCUCCCUGUGAUAGGUACUCAACAAAUAUCUGUUGAAUGAAUGAAUCGGUCAAGAAAGCUUAAUUUUAUUUUAAUUUCAGGGGAAAUAUUUUUUUUUCUGUUUUCAUAGCAGUAAUAGGAUGAAGACCUGUCUUAAAGUAAUGUCUAUCAGUUAAUUAGAAGGAUUAAUUGUGUGUUCAUUGGAAGAUAACUAUCAUAGUAGUGAAUUGUUUGCUUCAGGUUCUGGAGAAAUUAAAUUGGCUGAAGCAUUAUGAGUAGAAAAAGACCAAAGAAUCACAACAGAACUGGCAGAGACUGAAUAAAGGAGAGAGUUCCAUUAAUAUCCAAUUACCAUAGAAGAGGGGAAGUUACUUAGAACAGCACCUGACACACAUGAAGUGCUCAGGAAAUGUCACUGUGAUAUAUCACCCUCAUCAUCGCUAUGAUGACAAUUUUAAGUGAUGUUCUGAUAAGACAUUCAAAAAUAUCAAAUCACACAUUGAUGGAGUGAUUUCCUGUUUGUUUGU